UCCCUCUUAGCUCAGUGGUAGAGCGCGUCACUAGUAUCCCAAUGUCUGUAGAUGAUGUUCAUUAUGACGAGGUCAGUCGUUCAAGUCGGCUAGAGGGAA